GCUCAAAUUUCAAUAUAGAACGUUGAUGGUGAUAGAAGAGCAUAUUUCCUUUGAAAUGCUCUUUAGCUGCUUAGAAAAUCAGUUCAUGUUGUUGCUCUAAUUCAAGCUGUUUGGCAAUAGAGGAAGGGGAAACUAGGUUAGAGAUCUUUGGUCCAAACAAGUUGGAUGAGAAAAAAGGCUAUUCUUUAUGUUGUUGAGUAGUGCCCUAGUUUUAUUUUAUUAAUAAUGAUGGAAAAACUGAUAUGGCAAGAACAAUUUUUCGAAACAAGAAAACAAGUUGCUUAAAUUCUUGGGCUUUAUGUGGAAUCCUCUAUCAUGAGUGAUGGAAGUUGCUGCUAUCAUGGCCAUUGCUAUGGCAAAUGGAGGGGUGCUGGCUUUGGUUUACUAGAAAGAACUUUAAAUCACUAUGCUAAUGUCAGGUCAUCUUUUUGGGAAAUUAACCUUAUAGUUGGAUAAGCUAGCAUGAAGCAGUAUGUUGAAGACCAAGGCAAAUUGGGUUGCAAGUAAAGAAAAAAUGGACCAUGUUAAGGGACUAAACAUUAAAGUUGUGACUUUUUUUUGUUGUUAUUUUAAUAUCUUUUAGUUUUUUUUUUUUUUUUUUGUGUUUCUUAUACAAGUUCUCUAUCCGUGAUUAAAUAUUGCAAUUUGGAAAUGUAUUACCAAGUGAAAAAUUAGGUGCAA